AUUGAACGCUGGCGGCAGGCCUAACACAUGCAAGUCGAACGGUAACAGGAAGCAGCUUGCUGCUUUGCUGACGAGUGGCGGACGGGUGAGUAAUGUCUGGGAAACUGCCUGAUGGAGGGGGAUAACUACUGGAAACGGUAGCUAAUACCGCAUAAUGUCGCAAGACCAAAGAGGGGGACCUUCGGGCCUCUUGCCAUCGGAUGUGCCCCGAUGGGAUUAGCUAGUAGGUGGGGUAAAGGCUCACCUAGGCGACGAUCCCUAGCUGGUCUGAGAGGAUGACCAGCCACACUGGAACUGAGACACGGUCCAGACUCCUACGGGAGGCAGCAGUGGGGAAUAUUGCACAAUGGGCGCAAGCCUGAUGCAGCCAUGCCGCGUGUAUGAAGAAGGCCUUCGGGUUGUAAAGUACUUUCAGCGGGGAGGAAGGGAGUAAAGUUAAUACCUUUGCUCAUUGACGUUACCCGCAGAAGAAGCACCGGCUAACUCCGUG
rnacentral:rRNA from 1 species